rnacentral:rRNA from 1 species
GGAGGAAAGCAGGGGAUCGUAAGACCUUGCGUUAAUGGAGCGGCCGAUAUCCGAUUAGCUAGUUGGUGAGGUAAAGGCUCACCAAGGCGACGAUCAGUAGCUGGUUUGAGAGAACGACCAGCCACACUGGAACUGAGACACGGUCCAGACUCCUACGGGAGGCAGCAGUGGGGAAUUUUGGACAAUGGGGGCAACCCUGAUCCAGCCAUUCCGCGUGAGUGAAGAAGGCCUUCGGGUUGUAAAGCUCUUUCGCAAGGGAAGAAAACUUAUGAUCGAAUAAAUCAUGAGGUUGACGGUACCUUGAUAAGAAGCACCGGCUAACUACGUGCCAGCAGCCGCGGUAAUACGUAGGGUGCGAGCGUUAAUCGGAAUUACUGGGCGUAAAGCGUGCGCAGGCGGUUUUGUAAGUCGGAUGUGAAAUCCCCGGGCUCAACCUGGGAACUGCGUUUGAAACUACAAAGCUAG